AUAUAUUGGUGCUAUUUGAUUUUCGGCCCUUGGAUAAAAAAAAUGUAUGGUUAGAAUGAUGUGGGCUCUUUUAGGGUUGAGUGAGUUUUUGGUUUAAUAGUAUAAUUUAACGGGUAAAAAUAGUCAAAAAGUUAAAUCUAACAGCAGAAAAUUUGAUAGCAUCAAACGCUUAGUGCUAUCGAUAGUAUUCCAGCCAGACUAUAUAUAUAUAUAUGAGUCCGGCUACUAUGUUAUUAAUA
rnacentral:lncRNA from 1 species